AUUAUGACGUACUUGUACUGAUUGAGAUUUUAACACGAAGUGAGUGGCGAACGGGUGAGUAACACGUGGGUAACCUGCCCAGAAGUAGGGGAUAACACCUGGAAACAGAUGCUAAUACCGUAUAACAGAGAAAACCGCAUGGUUUUCUUUUAAAAGAUGGCUCUGCUAUCACUUCUGGAUGGACCCGCGGCGUAUUAGCUAGUUGGUGAGGUAAAGGCUCACCAAGGCAGUGAUACGUAGCCGACCUGAGAGGGUAAUCGGCCACAUUGGGACUGAGACACGGCCCAGACUCCUACGGGAGGCAGCAGUAGGGAAUCUUCCACAAUGGACGCAAGUCUGAUGGAGCAACGCCGCGUGAGUGAAGAAGGGUUUCGGCUCGUAAAGCUCUGUUGUUAAAGAAGAACGUGGGUAAGAGUAACUGUUUACCCAGUGACGGUAUUUAACCAGAAAGCCACGGCUAACUACGUGCCAGCAGCCGCGGUAAU
rnacentral:rRNA from 1 species